rnacentral:rRNA from 1 species
UAUAGUUAUAAAAAUUAUUUAUUCAUUAAUAUUACAAGGAUAAGAAAUUACAAAACAUCAAUAAGUAUAGUAAUAGGAAAAUUUAAAUAGUAAAAAGUAAAUAUAU